AUCCAGCCGACGAGUUCCAAAUAGGACGAAACGCGAGUCCUGCAU
rnacentral:hammerhead_ribozyme from 1 species